GCCCUGUGGUUGCUAGGGGCUAUUGUUCAGGUACAGAACUCCAGUGGGUACAAUGGGCCACAGCAAUCCUGUGAUUUUUGCAUGGCAUCUGUGUUUCCUCAGCAGCUGUCAUAGGCCGGUCACUGCUACAUGG